rnacentral:rRNA from 1 species
CAGUCGCCGCGGUAAUACAGAGGGUGCGAGCGUUAAUCGGAUUUACUGGGCGUAAAGCGUGCGUAGGCGGCUUCUUAAGUCGGAUGUGAAAUCCCUGAGCUUAACUUAGGAAUUGCAUUCGAUACUGGGAAGCUAGAGUAUGGGAGAGGAUGGUAGAAUUCCAGGUGUAGCGGUGAAAUGCGUAGAGAUCUGGAGGAAUGCCGAUGGCGAAGGCAGCCAUCUGGCCUAAUACUGACGCUGAGGUACGAAAGCAUGGGGAGCAAACAGGAUUAGAUACCCGUGUAGUCCCUGUCUCUUAUAC